GAUGCCGGAAGCGCGAGAUGGUGCCCCUUUUUGUCGGUAUACAGGUGGUGCAUGGCUGUCGUCAGCUCGUGUCGUGAGAUGUUGGGUUAAGUCCCCCAACGAGCGCAACCCUCGUCUUAUGUUGCCAGCACGUUAUGGUGGGGACUCAUAAGAGACUGCCGGGGUCAACUCGGAGGAAGGUGGGGAUGACAUCAAGUCAUCAUGCCCCUUAUGUCCAGGGCUUCACGCAUGCUACAAUGGCCGGUACAAAGGGCUGCGAUGCUGUAAGGCGGAGCGAAUCCCAAAAAGCCGGUCUCACUUCGGAUUGGGGUCUGCAACUCGACCCCAUGAAGUCGGAGUCUCUAGUAAUCUCAGAUCAGCAACGCUGCGGUGAAUACGUUCCCGGGCCUUGUACACACCGCG
rnacentral:rRNA from 1 species